rnacentral:rRNA from 1 species
ACGCUGGCGGCAGGCCUAACACAUGCAAGUCGAGCGGUAGAGAGAAGCUUGCUUCUCUUGAGAGCGGCGGACGGGUGAGUAAUGCCUAGGAAUCUGCCUGGUAGUGGGGGAUAACGUUCGGAAACGGACGCUAAUACCGCAUACGUCCUACGGGAGAAAGCAGGGGACCUUCGGGCCUUGCGCUAUCAGAUGAGCCUAGGUCGGAUUAGCUAGUUGGUGGGGUAAUGGCUCACCAAGGCGACGAUCCGUAACUGGUCUGAGAGGAUGAUCAGUCACACUGGAACUGAGACACGGUCCAGACUCCUACGGGAGGCAGCAGUGGGGAAUAUUGGACAAUGGGCGAAAGCCUGAUCCAGCCAUGCCGCGUGUGUGAAGAAGGUCUUCGGAUUGUAAAGCACUUUAAGUUGGGAGGAAGGGCAGUUACCUAAUACGUGAUUGUUUUGACGUUACCGACAGAAUAAGCACCGGCUAACUCUGUGCCAGCAGCCGCGGUAAUACAGAGGGUGCAAGCGUUAAUCGGAAUUACUGGGCGUAAAGCGCGCGUAGGUGGUUUGUUAAGUUGGAUGUGAAAUCCCCGGGGCUCAACCUGGGAACUGCAUUCAAAACUGACUGACUAGAGUAUGGUAGAGGGUGGUGGAAUUUCCUGUGUAGCGGUGAAAUGCGUAGAUAUAGGAAGGAACACCAGUGGCCGAAGGCGACCACCUGGACUGAUGCUGACACUGAGGUGCGAAAGCGUGGGGAGCAAACAGGAUUAGAUACCCUGG